UUCGUGAGAUUUGAUUAUGCUCACAUUGCCUGUCUGCGCUUGUUGGGGUCGCUCCCCUCAAGCUGUGCACUCCGGAGUUUUGUCACUAGAGGGGCAGCCGCUUGCUGCCCGGAUAGCCGCUAGCUGUCCGCAGGCGGUCUCGGGGGAUAGUUCAGUGAGACUUUUUCCUAUGAGACUUACACGUGAGAUGUUGUAGUGAACCCCGAGUUCACAAGAGAUUUGGUUACCUAUUGAGUCAUACUCAUUAUUGUUGUUCAUGAUAGCUAGUUUACAUCGCUUAUUGUUGUUCAUAGUAGCUUUACUUAUUGUUCAUGCAUGCAUGUUAUCAGAUUGAGGCAUAGCUAGAUGUACCUACUCUACUUACCUGCUUUCGUUCCCGCAUAGCUUUAUAUAUAUUGUAUACAUAUCUCUCUAUGCCUGCUUAGACCUAGUGGGUAGAUCGGUGGAGUCGGCGGCCGAACCCACUGGGAACUAAGGAAGUUAGUUCUCACACCCCACAUUACAGGUACUAGUUCGAGUGUCCCGACCGAGCGGGAGGAUCGCGGCAAGGGCAUAGCGCCCUAGCGGUAUCAGUUGAUAGUUUUACCUUUCCUACUUGCAUUAGCCCUAUACCCUGUACUUUUGUUUAUAUCUUGAGAGUAGAUCUUGUAUAGGGUGAGGUUUGAGAGCAUAUGAUGUAUUUAUAUUUUGGAGAAAAAGAAUGCAAGUUGUAUUAAAUGGGUAAAGUUUAAUGAUGUUAAAAGAGGUUAAUGUAUCAAAGUUCUAUGUUUAAAUAGUUAAGUUUAUCUCUCUUUUGUAUACUUGUAUGGAAUUCACUCGUAUCGCUUGCUCUUUGGUUGUUUAGCACUGUUUGUGCUUCUUCGUUGUUGUUGUAUAGAUCGUGUAUGAUUACAAGUGAUUCCUGGGUACUUGUGUACAUGAUCUCAUUGUUGAGCCUAGGGCGGACAGGGGAGACUCUGUCCGUUCGGCCUCACGCCCGCCGCGCCCGAACCGCGCCAAAUUAGUAGCGGUCUCGGGGCGGGGCGUGCAAGGGACGAUUUGAGGUGGGUUAUCCGCGGGGAAAGUUGAGUCCAGUUACUUCAUUAUUGCUUUUUCAUAGUAGCUUAUAUUGGCUCAGCAUUUAAACUUAUUGUUUUCAUGCAAUGCCAUGUUUUAUCGGAUUAUGUGAGGCGCAUAAGCUAUGAUUGUACCUACUUAAAAAAAAAAACUUAACCGCUUGUGUGGCUGUUUUCAGUCAGGGUUCCCCGAUGUAGGCCCUUAUAAUUAAUAAUCUUGUAAUAAAAAAUCCUUUUUUUUCUUCUAAUUUGCCGCUAUUUUGGGGCUUGACCUAGUGUAGAUCGUGAGUCGGCGGGAGUCGUUGCUAGUACAAAAGGAAGCGAACCACUCGCGAACUAAAGCGAAGUUUAGUUCUCAGACAAUCGCCUAAUUACAAGGUAGGUUCGAGUCAUUCCCCACGCGAGCGGUACGAGGAUCGCCGGCACGCGGCAUAGCGCGUUCUAGCCGGUACUCUAUCUGAUCGGUUGGAUAGUCUGGCUUCCUAUAUUGCAAGUAUUUCCCUACUUGUUACAUUUUGAGAGGGAUUGGUGGUUAGAUUAGAAGGUGAGGUGUAGGAGCCAUCUUUUGAGGUAUUAUAUUUUGGAGAGAAAACAGAAUGCAAGUUGUUUACGAUCUUAAAGUUUAAUGAAAUUGAAAGCUUAAACAAUUUCAAGUUAUGGUUUAAAUAGUUUUAGUUCUCUUUUUUGUAUACUGUAUGGUAUUCAGUCGUAUCGCUUAGCUCUUUGUGUUGGCUCUGAUAAUUUUUGUUGAGCGGCAGCGCUCAAAAACUGUUCUGUCGCUUUACUUCGUCUGGUUGUUGUACCUUAGAUCGUGUAUGGUUACAAAGUCAUUUCCGGUUUCGCCCUAUAAAACUGGAUAUUCAAAAAAGAAUUCAGUGUCUACUUGCUUGUUAACGAUGGAUCUCCGGCUGGUGAGGGUCAGGGGGAAUUUGCGGGUGUGCACAACGUUUUCCACGUCUCCAAUCUUCGCAAAUACAUGCAUGAUCCCGAGCAUGUUCUAGUAUAUGAGCCGCCGGAGCUUCAAGAAGAUAUGAGCUAUGAAGAGUUUCCGGUGAUGAUUUUGGCUCGAGAAGUGCGAAAGCUGCGGAAUCGCGAGAUCCCCUAUGUCAAGGUCCGGUGGAGCAAUCAUGACGAUCGCGAAGCCACCUGGGAGCUUGAGAAUCAAAUGAAGGCAAAUCACCCUCACCUAUUUGAGGAUUGAGCGAGGUAUGAUUUAAGAUUCGAAGUUUAAUUUUUUAUUAAAUUGAGUUCGUUUCGAGGACGAAACUCCUUUUAAGGAGAGGAGAAUGUAGGAUACCGAACUUCUGAAAAUAAGAAGUUACGGUAGGAUAUAGUAUAUCGGAAUUUAUUAUAAAAGUAAAUAUAAAUAAAAAUAGUGUGGAAAACUAUUUUUAUUGGCCUUAUGGAAGUAAAGUAAAAGUUGAAAGUGACCUGUGCUGAAAUCGGAGCGAAAACAGGAGAUUUAGAAUUUUCUGUGAGAAACGGGGCAGAUAGAUUAGCAGAAAAUGCACAGUGUCAGAAAAUUAUGAAAACUGGAGGAUGGGUCAGAAUUAUUUUUAUGAGGCUGGAAUUAAAGUUUCAGCCCAUUCUGACAUCCGGAAGGUGGAGAAUAAAAUCAAACUGCUAUCUGCUAAAGAUUACAGUUCGGCACGGCUUUCGGUGACCAAACGGGGUCGAAACUGAAAACUUAAGAUAUAUUCUUACUCAGUACGUUAAACCGAGCCUGCCUGUCGAAUUUGAGCGCAAACGGACAUUCAGAAGGGCUCCGACUGUUCCGAACUGCGAAACUGCGAGUUGUAAUAGGUGUGAGAGGGGGUUUUGUGCAAUUGUUACAACACCACAAGUGGGCUGGUUGCAUACGUAUACACACACAUGCACAUACCUUCUCCCUCAUGUGUUCUCUCAUCCUCUCCCACUCUUACACUCUUUUCCCUCUCUCUCUCUAGAAAGAAAGAAAGAAAGAAGAAGGAAAGGAGAAGGAAAAGAAAGGAAAAAGAGAAGGAAGAAGGAAGGAGAAGAAGACCAAGAAGAGGAAGAUCAUCUUCUUCCUCCUCUCCCUCAACCUUGGAGAAGCUUUUGGAGGUAAGCUCCAAAACCCUAUAGUGGUGGAUUCCUUAAGAUAGGGUUUUAUGGUUUGGAAUUGGUUUGAAUGGAACCUAUUGAAGCUAAUUAGAUGGUUCUAGCUCGAAUUUGAAGCUUGAACCAUGGAAUUUCUCAUUGUUGAAACCUAAGUCACUUCAAAACCCUUUAAUGGUAGCUUCUAGUUUAUGAGUUUUUAAGCUCUAGAAAUGGAAUUUAAUGGUGAUUUAGAGAUUAUUAACCUCAUUUAUUGCAAGAUUCAUAGCUUGAUGUUGCUUUUUUGCAACAAUGAGGAAUUAGAGCUCCAAAUGAGAGCUUUAAUAGUAGAUCUCUAGGGCUUUGGUCUUAUGCUCUAGAAAUGGAAUUAGUAGCCUUCCAAGAUGCUAAUUAGAUGGAUUAUGCUUGGAUCCAAAGGUUGGAUGGUGGGUUUUUCUCUAAUUGCGACAUAGGGUUCCAAAAUAGGGUUUUUGCAAAUAUAGGGUUUUGAUCUCAUUUGAGUGGUCAGAAACCUAAUUGUUAUAUCUCCGAACGCGUAGGAAGCGACGGUUCGUCAAUUCGUUGAGCGGGUGCGACGUUCCGGCUGAAACAAGUGCUAAAAGGUCCGUUUUGGCCGAGGAGCCGAGGCGGCGUGCAAAGACCGCGGAGACAAGUUUUCUAACCUUGCGGCGUUACCAAAAGGUGGGUGGUGACCAUCCCGAAGCAGCCGGGAUACUUUCUAUGUCUAGGUUCUUAUAUAAUGAUCAAAUUGCAUCUUGCACAUAUUGCAUAUAGGGCUAAAUGAUUGAUGUUAUUGCUUAUACUUGCAUGCUAGUUGUAAUAUGAUAUGAUAAGAUGGUUUGGUUCAUGAUUCUAGUAUGCAUGAGAAUGAUAUGAUAGUUAACCCUAUAUGCGAUGAUUGAUGUUUAAGUAAAUAAAGAACCUAGUAUGAUAAAAACUAGUGUUGAUAACGAGUCAAAUUGACGAGUGGCAUCUAGUUGUAGACAACUAUGACGAGUGGCAUUUGAUUAUUGAUAACCUAUGAUAUGAGAACCUUAGUGUAAUCAGAAAUACUAUGAGAUUGGGUACAAAACCAUCUUGAUUCCAUGAUGUGAUUACCCUUAGAGGGUAGGAUACUAUUGUUCGUGAGAUUUGAUUAUGCUCACAUUGCCUGUCUGCGCUUGUUGGGGUCGCUCCCCUCAAGCUGUGCACUCCGGAGUUUUGUCACUAGAGGGGCAGCCGCUUGCUGCCCGGAUAGCCGCUAGCUGUCCGCAGGCGGUCUCGGGGGAUAGUUCAGUGAGACUUUUCCCUAUGAGACUUACACGUGAGAUGUUGUAGUGAACCCCGAGUUCACAAGAGAUUUGGUUACCUAUUGAGUCAUACUCAUUAUUGUUGUUCAUGAUAGUUGCUUACAUAGCCUUUAUUAUUGUUCAUGAUAGCUAGUUUACAUAGCUUACUUGCUCAGCUUUACUUAUUGUUCAUGCAUGCAUGUUAUCGGAUUGAGGCAUAGCUAGACGUACCUACUCUACUUACCUGCUUUCGUUCCCGCAUAGCUUUAUAUAUAUUGUAUAUAUAUCUCUCUAUGCCUGCUUAGACCUAGUGGGUAGAUCGGUGGAGUCGGCGGCCGAACCCACUGGGAACUAAGGAAGUUAGUUCUCACACCCCACAUUACAGGUACUAGUUCGAGUGUCCCGACCGAGCGGGAGGAUCGCGGCAAGGGCAUAGCGCCCUAGCGGUAUCAGUUGAUAGUUUUAC
rnacentral:lncRNA from 1 species